rnacentral:rRNA from 1 species
UACGGGGGGAGCAAGCGUUGUUCGGAAUUACUGGGCGUAAAGGGCUCGUAGGCGGCCAACUAAGUCGGAUGUGAAAUCCCCAAGCUUAACUUGGGAACUGCAUCCGAUACUGGAUGGCUUGAAUCCGGGAGAGGGAUGCAGAAUUCCAGGUGUAGCGGUGAAAUGCGUAGAUAUCUGGAGGAAUACCGGUGGCGAAGGCGGCAUCCUGGACCGGCAUUGACGCUGAGGAGCGAAAGCUAGGGGAGCAAACGGG